UACGUAGGGUGCAAGCGUUGUCCGGAAUUAUUGGGCGUAAAGAGCUCGUAGGCGGUCUGUCACGUCGGCUGUGAAAACCCGAGGCUCAACCUCGGGCCUGCAGUCGAUACGGGCAGACUAGAGUGAUGUAGGGGAGACUGGAAUUCCUGGUGUAGCGGUGAAAUGCGCAGAUAUCAGGAGGAACACCGAUGGCGAAGGCAGGUCUCUGGGCAUUAACUGACGCUGAGGAGCGAAAGCAUGGGGAGCGAACAGG
rnacentral:rRNA from 1 species